ensembl:lncRNA
UUAUUAGGUAACACUUUACAGUAAGGUAACAUUUGUAAAGGGUUAAUAUAAGUAACAGUUAUUGAAUCAUUUAUAAUAUAAUAACUAAUGGUUAUGGAAUCAUUUAUAAUAACUAACGGUUAUGGAAUCAUUUAUAAUAUAAUAACUAACGGUUAUGGAGUCAUUUAUAAUAUAAUAACUAACGGUUAUGGAAUCAUUUAUAAUAACUAACGGUUAUGAAUCAUUUAUAAUAACCAACGGUUAUGGAAUCAUUUAUAAUAUAAUAACUAACGGUUAUGAAUCAUUUACAAUACAAUAACUAACGGUUAAGGAAUAUUUUAUAAAUGCAUUGGGAACCAUUAUAAAAUAGUUACCUUGGUCAAAAUAGUGCGAUAACUAGUCAGGGCCAAAUAGUGAGCCACAAUUUACAUUGUGGUGGAUAUUUUAAUCUUUAAUAAAAGGAUAUUAACUUUAAUAAAAACGUAUCGAUAAGGGAGCUGGUCACAAUACACACACAAGUGAACAGAGUGAAAGCCCACUGGGUGGAGUGGAGCCUCUGGGUUAUAUACCAUCUCAGGAUAGGUCAGGAAAGGAUAGGUCAGGAUAGGUCAGGAUAGGUCAGAACAGGUCAGGAUAGGAUAGGUCAGGAUAGGUCAGGUCAGGAUAGGUCAGGAUAGGUCAGGUCAUGAUAGGUCAGGAUAGGUCAGAACAGGUCAGGAUAAGAUAGGUCAGGAUAGGUCAGGUCAGGAUAGGAUAGGUCAGGAUAGGUCAGGAUAGGUCAGGACAGGUCAGGAUAGGUCAGGAUAGGUCAGGACAGGUCAGGAUAGGUCAGGGUAGGUCAGGUCAGGAUAGGUCAGGAUAGGUCAGGGUAGGUCAGGACAGGUCAGGAAAGGUCAGGAUAGGUCAGGUCAGGAUAGGUC